rnacentral:lncRNA from 1 species
GAAAAGAUGGUGGUUCAAUUCGAUGUUAUUUAAGAAGGAGUUCGAACACAGAUGUAGGCUAAGUAAAUCAAUGGGCAGUCUUGGUCCUAUUGAAAAUGCCAGUGAAAGUAAAGAUCCGAAUAGAAAUGAUACGGAUAAAAACAUUCAGGGUUGGGGUGGUCAUGACAAUUACAGUAAUGUUGAUCUUUUUUUUGGCGUCAAGGACAUUCGGAAUUUUUUCUCUGAUGAUACUUUUUUAGUGAAAGAUAGUAAUGGGGACAGUUAUUCUAUAUAUUUUGAUAUUGAAANUAAGCUAUUUCUUUGGAAAGCUCCUACUAAGAUGAGAAAUUCCCCGAUAAAGCUGCUAGUACCAGGUAAACUCAUAUUGGCCAAAGUGAAAAAGAAGAAAAUGGUAGAGAAAUUCGGCAUGGUGCUCACUAAACCUCCGUAAUAUCUAACAAGUCGAGUCUUAUGUCGGUCAUAUAGAACACCAACACAUAGAAAAAGGGCUGAAGAAACCAGUCCAUGACUUAACAUCAGUAGAAUGCUACCUCCAAUUCCCUGUAUGUUCAGACUAAACAUACCAAUAGUCACCAGAUUCAUAUGAGCUACUGAGGAGUAAGCAAUGAUCUUCUUAAGAUCGAUCUGUCUUAAAGUGGUCAAGGAAGUAUAUAUUAUAGCAAUCGCGCUUAAAGC